rnacentral:rRNA from 1 species
AGUGAACGCUGGCGGUAGGCCUAACACAUGCAAGUCGAACGGCAGCACAGUAAGAGCUUGCUCUUACGGGUGGCGAGUGGCGGACGGGUGAGGAAUACAUCGGAAUCUACUUUUUCGUGGGGGAUAACGUAGGGAAACUUACGCUAAUACCGCAUACGACCUACGGGUGAAAGCAGGGGAUCUUCGGACCUUGCGCGAUUGAAUGAGCCGAUGUCGGAUUAGCUAGUUGGCGGGGUAAAGGCCCACCAAGGCGACGAUCCGUAGCUGGUCUGAGAGGAUGAUCAGCCACACUGGAACUGAGGCACGGUCCAGACUCCUACGGGAGGCAGCAGUGGGGAAUAUUGGACAAUGGGCGCAAGCCUGAUCCAGCCAUACCGCGUGGGCGAAGAAGGCCUUCGGGUUGUAAAGCCCUUUUGUUGGGAAAGAAAAGCAGCAGGUUAAUACCCCGCUGUUCUGACGGUACCCAAAGAAUAAGCACCGGCUAACUUCGUG